rnacentral:rRNA from 1 species
UACGUAGGGCGCAAGCGUUGUCCGGAAUUAUUGGGCGUAAAGAGCUCGUAGGCGGUUUGUCGCGUCUGCUGUGAAAACCUAAGGCUCAACCUUGGGCUUGCAGUGGGUACGGGCAGACUAGAGUGCGGUAGGGGUGACUGGAAUUCCUGGUGUAGCGGUGAAAUGCGCAGAUAUCAGGAGGAACACCGGUGGCGAAGGCGGGUCUCUGGGCCGACACUGACGCUGAGGCGCGAAAGCGUGGGGAGCAAACAGG